CAAUACAGCCCUAAUUCUUUAUCCCUCUUUUUCCCAAACAACACCUCUUUCUCUCUCUCUCUCUCUCUCUCCCCCUCCCUCCCCAAGCUUUGCAGCUCCUCAAACUGGAACUUACCGCCGGGAUCGACGAGGUCCGCACCGCAACCUACCGUCGACAGUGACGAGCUCCUCCGUCGACGUUAACGAGGUCCCGUGCCAGAACAUACCACCUAGACCGACGAGCUCCUCCUUUCCGUCGAAUAGCUCCUCCUUCACCAAAUAAACUGUAACAACAGCUCUCUCACACCCCAGACACCCGAUCAAUAUCUCUAGGAAUCUAUAAGGACCAGCCCAGAACUUCUGCUAAAUCCUGUGAGAACCAUCUUGACAUAAUUAGCAGGCCUAAAGAUUGGGAGAAAGUCCCUGAUCCUAAGAAGUAUUUUGUCCAAUUUUUUGGAACAGAAGAGAUAGAACACCAUCCAUUAGUUGAAAAGGCAGCUCAUCAGCAAGUCAGUAGUGAAGAAUCUGGAGUUGAUUUUGGCAAUCCAAAGCCAAGAGCUUGAUAUUAGCAG